AGAUUAGUAUCCAAGUUUGGUUUGGUUCAAUGUGGUAUUUGUUCUUUUGUUGCCAUUGUUUUGUUAGGUCCUUAGAUUUAUUUCUUUAGUAAUCAUGGUUCUAGAUCAUUUUUACUGGGGAAGCUAUAUAAGUGAUUUUUUUUUUCCUGCAGGAACCCAAGUCCAAAAAUCUCUGCUUGCCAUACACAUUGCUAUACACAGGCAUAGGCUGAUGGGUCUCUUCUAAACUGUUCUGAUUUCCUAAAGGUUGAAGAUGCAAGGAGAUGACAUUACUAAAAUGACUUGGUUCUCGGUGCGAUGCUAUUUGCAUCUAAGUUCUUUCCAAUGCUGCUUAAAAACGUGGAGAAGUAUGGAGUCAAUAAGGGAAAUAGGACAAUGCCAUCUCGUGAUUAGGAGAUCUGAACCCAGUUGGUAUGCGUGAGAAGCCCUAGCCAUAUGGAGAGGUCCUGUGUUGACGCCAGUCAGUUGCCUCAGUGAAGACCAGCCUUUGAAUCACUACAGCCAUCCCAUGAGACAUUAAGUGAAGAAGCCUCCAGAUGAUUACAGCCUUUAACUAUAUCAGGAAAAACAUUUUGUGCCCUACCUUUAUUGAGAGAUUAUUUUUAAAUGAUUGAAGAAGACAGGGAGAGACUGUACUCCUGAGAUGCACACAGCUGUAAUCUUCAGAAGACUACCGUUUGGCCAAACCUGCAUAGAGCUGGAGGUGCCAGGGAACUUGUGUCUCUCAAAGGGCAGCCUACAUCCAGUGACUGACCGAUGAGGAAGAGUGAAAGCCCAGCUCCUUUUCCUCAAGAUAAGGUUAUAAAUGUCAACCAAUUUGAAGGUAUGGAAAAGGAGAGAGAAAAAUGGAACAAAUUUCAGAGAAGAGGCACAGCUGAUGAGAACAGCAUUCUUAUCAAUGAGGUUUUUAAAUAUCAAGUUUCCAUCACACAGAAAGGGAUCAGCUGUGAAUCUGUGGGACGGUUUCUUUCAUACUUGGCAUUUCCUGGCUCCUGACAGUUCCUUGUGAGUGACUACUGGACACCUGGGUUCCAUUUGGGACCCAAGGCUUUACAUCAUCUGUGAACCAGGUGGAGUGAACAGCAGAGCUGGUGUUGGAGGAAUUUGAGAAUAGGUGAAAGAGACUCCACGGAGUUCUCAUUCUCUCAUUGUAGGAAUUCUAGAAAGUUACCUGGUUGCAAUAAAAAUGCCUACUGCUGCCCUUUAAACUUAAUUACUGCUGUGCUCUCCCUAGGAGAGAGGGGAACAGCUGGUCUCUCCUACCCAGUAUGUAUAGCCUAUUGCUGUGUGAGGUUCAGCUAUCUCCUCUUCAGACGAAAACCUCCAAAAUUGUAAACCUUCUAAGUUGGUUUGCUUUACUCGUUUUACUUUUGCAUUGUCUAUGACUCAUUCUCCAACCCACAUGACCUUUAUACCUAUACAAAUAAAAUCAGUCUCUAUUUAUAUCUGAAUCACACAAAAAUAACUAAACAUGUUUUUGUAAAUACUAGAAGUUUGUUUGGUUCAGCCAGAUUUAAAAUAUAAGCAUAAAUGCAAUUCGUUCCCAGGGACCCUGAAGGGACACCCCAAAGAACUAGGUAGUCCUCUGACCCAAAAACGAGCUUUGAUAGCACAUCUGUGUGCUUGCUAGUUGGAUGAGAGGUGCUGGAUGCAGUAAGAUGCCCUGGACACAGGAAAUGGUGGUUUUAAUAUUUUUUUAAAUGUUUAUUUUUGCAAGAGACAGGGACAGAGCACAAGUGGGGGAGGGGCAGAGAGAAAUGGAGAUACAGAAUCCGAAGCAGGCUCCAGGUUCUGAGCUGCCAGCACAGAGACAGGGCUUGAACCCAUGGCAAGAUCGUGACCUGAGCUGAAGUCAGACGCUUAACAGAGCCCCUAGGAAAUGGUUUUAAAGGAAACUGCAGGUGAGCAGUCACAAGAGUGGGAUGCAUAAACUACAGGCAUGGAUUGGCCACGGAACAGUUUCUCACACAGGCAAGUCUGUGAAGCACGUAUUUGGGAGAAGAGCAUCAAGGAUUUGUUUUCUUUAACCAGUGAUCGGUGAUUCUCCUAAGCCACACCAAGAAUGGCAGAGAGUUUCUAAUUAGGCUCUGGUGAGGACAGAAUACUCUGUUCAGAGUGAAAUACAGUCCUUUUUUCAAAUAAGAACUAUAGAAAGAAUACCUGCUAAGUGCCAGGCACCAUGCAGGUUGAGCAGAAGAUCAAGCCCCAUGUUGGAAGAUGAAAAGGAAAAGGACUUCUCGCCUAUCAGAGUUGGGCCUGGAGGUUCAGAACAACAGGAGGUUCCUCAUCACAACUCGGAGGAAAUGGAGGAGAUGUUAGGCACUUUCACUUUCCUCUCUGGCCUCAGUUUACCCUUUUUUAAAUGAGGGGGUUGGACUUCAUGAUUUCUAAGCCCUAAGGUUCUGAUUCUAGCACCACAUAAAGUUCACUUCAAAGUCAGUGAAAGAUUUGCAGCAACAUAAAUAGACCUCAGGGUAUAAACACUAUGUUAUCCAAAGGGAAAAUAAAGAUGACAGACUACAUGUUUUAAAAUAAACUCACUGUGGUUUUUAAUUCUCAACUCCAACCUUGAGUUUUAUGAGUAUUGAUUUCCUAAGAAAAGAAAGCCUACAACUGCUACCUUCCCUAAGUACCUUUCUAUUCAUUUUAAGUAGAGCCAUUAAAAGUUUUCAGGCCCAAUUAUACAUAACUUUCAGUUUAAAUGUCCUUCUUACCCUCACCAAAAGGACCUUUCUUAUGUAACUAAAACAAAUGGUUUGAUUUUGUACACAAAAAGUCAGGCUUGACAUUUAUUGGGCAUUUAUAAGAAAAUGAUACUGAAAAAAAAAAAAGCCAUCUCAACUGUGCUUCAGACAUUGAUUGACAUGAAGUGUCACUGACAACACAAUGGGCACAUCAAGAGACCUAGACCUAAGCAUUUGUGACUUACUGAAGGUCACACAAUUAUUUUAUGGAUCUGCCUCAUUCUCAUGUUAUGUAUCCCUGACAGUAGACCUAUAGAAAUUUCCCAGCUCUACAGACAAGGAAAUUGAGUUUCAGAAAUACUACGUUCUUGCAAUAGUACUGUAUUCAAAACAGACCUACCUAUCUCAGAAUCUCUUGCAGUUUUCCCCUCUACCUUGUGAGAUUCUAGCAUAUAAUUCCUACUUUCCAAAUUGAACAUUCUCACAUGAUCAAAUGGGAAGAAUACCUUUAUUUUUUGUCAGAGAAUGAGAAAGAGGCAGUUGUAGAGGAGGGACAAGACAAAAAGUGAUGUUAAAGAUCUGCCACAUUACUCUAAAAUGUUUUCAGACUUACUUAUCCUCAGCCCUUCCAGACCUUCUAGACUGCUACAGCCUCACCAGCCUCUGCUUCUCCAUUUCUUCCUCUCUCAGAACUCCCUUUCUCUCAUUUCCACUUACUAAAAAAGUGAACAUCUUUUAAAGUCCAUUUCAUGAGUCGCUCCCCUUUCAUGGGCUCCCCAAUUACAGAGUGGAGAAAAGAAUUCUUACUGACAUAAUAAUACUCACCUGGCAGCAUCAUUAAAAUGAUUAUAUGACACCUCAGUCAGUAAUAAAAUGUAAAAAGAAAAUAAAUGUAUUAUUUUUCACUGUUAAAAAUAAAACUUUAGUAUGUCUGUCCAUAGUUUUUAUACUCACUCUUAGAUAAUGUUUUGGUAUUGAAAGUUCCAGUCUAGUCUCAUUAUUACAAAACUGGCAUCCAGUUCAAUAAAGAAUGAAAAUAUCUAUAAACUCUUAUUCAGUGCCAAGCUUUCCUCAUUCCUCAGAGCAAGUUGAGGUGGUGGGUAUGGUUGGCUGCUUGAGCAGUUCCUCCUCUGCUGCUUUCUCACUGUGCAAGCCACAGUUUUGAUCUCUCCAAAGUCAACCUAGGGAGAGAAGGACUAGAGGAAAGGGACCGGGUUCCAUGCCUGGUGUACUGCAGUCUGACCUCAGUGCCCUCAGGACUGUAGAAGCAUUGCUGACUUUUCCUCUGAUGGACAUUUUUGUUCUUUGGAGAUUCUCACUCAGGAUCACCAAUGAAAUUCCUUUGCCCAUGGCAUGCCCUCCUCUGGGUAGCUCUGCUCUGAGCAUUCAGCAACUCAUUAUGUAUCGUAACCCACUGAGGAGUCCUCUCAGAAGAGAUUCUCUGUUAAGAUGACCCGGGCCAGCUCACUUUUGGAAAGUGUCUCAUUUUGUGCUCACAAGCCAAUUUGAGUAGAAGUGCAUACUACCCCAGUGGAUUUGCUAUACACUUCUUGACUUUAGACUUUUCAGACUUAAGUCAAACAGCAUUGUCUAUCUCCCUCAAUCUCCAGGACACAGAAACUAAAAUUGCCUCAGAGUUUUCACUCAUCGGCUAGUUGUGAAAGGAAAGCAUCCUAUUCUCAUGAGGAGGGAGCAGAGAAUAUCACACCAAGUUCACACAAGGACAUCUGUCUAAUCAGCUUUUUUCUGUCUUAUGAGCUGCAGUGCAUGAUCAAGGUGGCAGGAGCAUCUCGUUAUCCCUCAGUACAUUAUGCACGGGUGGUCCAGCGCUUCACUUUAGUAUCCAGGGCAUUAGGUGGGGGAAGAGAAGUAUUCUUUGGAAUCUACUACAUUGUUCUUUGUCUUUGGGUUCCAUUUUAACAACGUGUUACAUAAAUAGUAGGCUUAAGUAGUAACUGGACCAUGCAUGUGAAGGUCAUCAAGAACCAAGGAAGCUUUUCUCUAGUGUCAAACCUUAACUCUGCUUCUCCCUGCUCAGAAUCUCUCUAAACUGUCUUUGUUUCUCUGUGCACAUAUAAAAAACAGCUACCCCAUAGCUUCCAAUGUUUUAUGUGUGCUCCCACAGACCAGCAGAGAGACUAACUAGUUUGAAUCCCACUUCAAAAUUCCUAGAGAGGAAAGAUAAUUGGCCUAGUCUGGACCAGGUGUCUGUCCCUGAUCCAGUCAUCUUUGUUCAACGGGUGGGUUAUCAGAGACUCUCCCUGAAGGCAGGGAAAUUUGCAAAGAAAGGAGGUAAUAGGCUGGGUAGACACUCCCCAGCAGUGUUAGAAAUACAUGUAUUACCUGGCAUGAGGCCUAGCGUAAGUGAAUACUUAGCGUGUUUUUCUCCCCUUUCAAGACAUUUAUUCUCUUCUGAGGAAAUAGAUAUGCUGGGCAUUGUGGUUAGCUUCCCAACAUUACUCUCUCUUUUCCUUAGUCACGAAUGAAAUAUUCAUUCUGAUAUCUUCACCUCCGCUGGGUAUCUCACAGUAGCAGUGGGAAGAGUGACUGAAGCUUAAACUAAUGAACACAAGAGUCCCUCUCCUGGUCACAGUAUUUGUUCCAGAAUGACUCAUCUCAGGCUGACCAAAUCAAAGGACAGGUCCUCCCCCUCCUGAGAAGAACACUCUUGGAAACGAUCCCUUCUAUCUCCAUAGAUGUGCCUAGAGAAACACAUUCCCCAAGGAUGUUAACACAACCAUCUUGUGACAAUGAAGUAGAACCAGGCUUAAGAAGAAGCUGAACCUGCAUGAGACAGAGAGGGGAGAUAAAAAGAAACUGAACCUUGAAGACAUGAUUGAGCAGCUGACAAACCAACCCUAAAACCAACUUAUAUGUCAAAUUCCAUUUAUAUGAGCCAAAAAUCCUAUCCUUUUGAUCAACUUGGAUCAGAUUCCAGAAAGAUCUAAUUUGUAUGUUCACCCAGAAUCCUAACAUGUCAGGACAAACUGUCAGUAAGUAUAUUUGCAAACAAUUCCUUUUUUUUUUAAUGUUUAUUUAUUUAUUUAUUUUGAGAGAGAGAGAAAGAGCAGAGAGAGGGAGAGAGAACAUCCCAAGCAGGCUCUGUGCUGUCAGCAGAGCCCGACAUGUGGCUUGAUUUCAUGAACGGUGAGAUCAUGACCCAAGCCAAAAUCAAGAGUCAGACACUUAACCAACCCAGCUGCCACAGAGGUGCCCCUAUUUGCAAGCAAUUCU